rnacentral:rRNA from 1 species
AGAGUUUGAUCAUGGCUCAGGACGAACGCUGGCGGCGCGCUUAACACAUGCAAGUCGAGCGAGAACCAGUCCUUCGGGACUGGGGACAGCGGCGAACGGGUGAGUAACACGUGGGUAAUCUGCCCUCGGCGCCGGGAUAGCCCGGGGAAACCCGGAUUAAUACCGGAUAGCCUUUCGAGCCUUCGGGCUCGUCAGAAAAGGUGGCUUCGGCUUCCGGCUGAGGAUGAGCCCGCGGCGGAUUAGCUUGUUGGUGGGGUAAUGGCCUACCAAGGCGACGAUCCGUAGCUGGUCUGAGAGGACGAUCAGCCACACUGGGACUGAGACACGGCCCAGACUCCUACGGGAGGCAGCAGUGGGGAAUCUUGCGCAAUGGGCGAAAGCCUGACGCAGCGACGCCGCGUGCGGGAAGAAGGCCUUCGGGUUGUAAACCGCUUUCAGGAGGGACGAAGCCACUCGGGUUAAUACCCCAGAGGGUGACGGUACCUCCAGAAGAAGCCCCGGCUAACUACGUGCCAGCAGCCGCGGUA